CCUACGGGAGGCAGCAGUAGGGAAUCUUCCACAAUGGGCGCAAGCCUGAUGGAGCAACACCGCGUGAGUGAAGAAGGGUUUCGGCUCGUAAAGCUCUGUUUUUGGAGAAGAACGUGCGUGAGAGUAACUGUUCACGCAGUGACGGUAUCCAACCAGAAAGUCACGGCUAACUACGUGCCAGCAGCCGCGGUAAUACGUAGGUGGCAAGCGUUAUCCGGAUUUAUUGGGCGUAAAGCGAGCGCAGGCGGUUGCUUAGGUCUGAUGUGAAAGCCUUCGGCUUAACCGAAGAAGUGCAUCGGAAACCGGGAAACUUGAGUACAGAAGAGGACAGUGGAAUUCCAGGUGUAGCGGUGGAAUGCGUAGAUAUAUGGAAGAACACCAGUGGCGAAGGCGGCUGUCUGGUCUGCAACUGACGCUGAGGCUCGAAAGCAUGGGUAGCGAACAGGAUUAGAUACCCUGGUAGUC
rnacentral:rRNA from 1 species